UCUCUCGAAAAAUUUUAGUUA
rnacentral:piRNA from 1 species